rnacentral:rRNA from 1 species
UACGUAGGGUGCAAGCGUUGUCCGGAAUCACUGGGCGUAAAGGGCGCGUAGGCGGCUCGGUAAGUCUGUUGUGAAAUCCCCGAGCUCAACUUGGGAAUUGCAAUGGAUACUGGCAGGCUGGAGUAUGGUAGAGGAAGGUGGAAUUCCCGGUGUAGCAGUGAAAUGCGUAGAGAUCGGGAGGAACACCAGUGGCGAAGGCGGCCUGCUGGGCUGUUGCUGACGCUGAGGCGCGACAGCGUGGGGAGCAAACAGG